rnacentral:tRNA from 1 species
GGAUGAUUACCCAAGAGGCUGAAGGGGCUACCUUGGAAAGGUAGUAGGUCGGGAAACUGGCGCGUGGGUUCGAAUCCCAUGUCAUCCA